rnacentral:rRNA from 1 species
AGUGAACGCUGGCGGUAGGCCUAACACAUGCAAGUCGAACGGCAGCACAGUAAGAGCUUGCUCUUACGGGUGGCGGGUGGCGGACGGGUGAGGAAUACAUCGGAAUCUACUUUUUCGUGGGGGAUAACGUAGGGAAACUUACGCUAAUACCGCAUACGACCUACGGGUGAAAGCAGGGGAUCUUCGGACCUUGCGCGAUUGAAUGAGCCGAUGUCGGAUUAGCUAGUUGGCGGGGUAAAGGCCCACCAAGGCGACGAUCCGUAGCUGGUCUGAGAGGAUGAACCGGCACACCGGGAAUGAGACAACGUCCCGACCUCCGAGGGGGGGCAGAGGGGGGGAAAUUGGACAAAUGGGGGCAAGCUUGUCCCAGCCAUACCGGGGGGGGGAAGAAGGCCUUCGGGUUGUAAAGCCCUUUUGUUGGGAAAAAAAAGCAGCAGGUUAAAACCCCGUUGUUCUGAGGGUACCCAAAAAAAAAGCCCCGGCUAACUUCGG